CCUACGGGGGGCAGCAGUGGGGAAUAUUGGACAAUGGGGGCAACCCUGAUCCAGCCAUGCCGCGUGUGUGAAGAAGGCCCUCGGGUUGUAAAGCACUUUCAGUGAGGAAGAACGCCUGGUGGUUAAUACCCAUCAGGAAAGACAUCACUCACAGAAGAAGCACCGGCUAACUCCGUGCCAGCAGCCGCGGUAAUACGGAGGGUGCGAGCGUUAAUCGGAAUUACUGGGCGUAAAGCGCGCGUAGGUGGCUUGAUAAGCCGGUUGUGAAAGCCCCGGGCUCAACCUGGGAACGGCAUCCGGAACUGUCAAGCUAGAGUGCAGGAGAGGAAGGUAGAAUUCCCGGUGUAGCAGUGAAAUGCGUAGAGAUCGGGAGGAAUACCAGUGGCGAAGGCGGCCUUCUGGACUGACACUGACACUGAGGUGCGAAAGCGUGGGUAGCAAACAGGAUUAGAUACCCGAGUAGUC
rnacentral:rRNA from 1 species